rfam:Pristionchus pacificus strain PS312 contig2519, whole genome shotgun sequence.
CCGACCAUAGCUCAGUUGGUAGAGCGGAGGACUGUAGAUCCUUAGGUCACUGGUUCGAAUCCGGUUGGUCGGA